rnacentral:rRNA from 1 species
AACGAACGCUGGCGGCAUGCCUAACACAUGCAAGUCGAACGCUAUCUUUGAUAGAGUGGCGCACGGGUGAGUAACGCGUGGGAACCUGCCUUUCACUGCGGGACAACGGUUGGAAACGACCGCUAAUACCGCAUACGCCCUACGGGGGAAAGAUUUAUCGGUGAAAGAGGGGCCCGCGUCUGAUUAGCUUGUUGGUAGGGUAAUGGCCUACCAAGGCGACGAUCGGUAGCUGGUCUGAGAGGAUGAUCAGCCACACUGGGACUGAGACACGGCCCAGACUCCUACGGGAGGCAGCAGUGGGGAAUAUUGGACAAUGGGGGCAACCCUGAUCCAGCAAUGCCGCGUGUGUGAUGAAGGCCUUAGGGUUGUAAAGCACUUUCACUGGUGAAGAUGAUGACGGUAACCAGAGAAGAAGCCCCGGCUAACUUCGUGCCAGCAGCCGCGGUAAUACGAAGGGGGCGAGCGUUGUUCGGAAUUACUGGGCGUAAAGGGCGCGUAGGCGGUCUUUUAAGUUAGGCGUGAAAGCCCCGGGCUCAACCUGGGAACUGCGCUUAAGACUGGAAGACUAGAAAACGGAAGAGGGUAGUGGAAUUCCCAGUGUAGAGGUGAAAUUCGUAGAUAUUGGGAAGAACACCAGUGGCGAAAGCGGCUACCUGGUCCGAUUUGA